rfam:Firmicutes bacterium CAG:114 genomic scaffold, scf187
GGGAAUAUUGGGCAAACCCAGUGAAAGCUGGUGACGCAAAGCUAUAGGGUCUACGUUUCUCCGCACGGAAGCAUGACAGCCAGUUGCAGCA